UACCAUUUUUGUCCAAUUCAAAAAUAACUUAAUCAGCUGUCUACAACCAAGACGAUAAGAACAGAAGUCAAAUCUUGAAAGACAUCUAUUUUACAUAAAAAAUUAUUUGGGAUUGUGGAAUAGCUACUACACUAAAUAAUUAUUCCUUAUUUAAAAUCUGAAUCAAACCUACAAUAUUUAAUCCACAUAGAACAGUUACCCCAUUUCCAUCUUGUUCCAUGCCAAUUCGUGGACCAAACAAAGCCUGGAAGAUAAAUAGUAUUCUAUUGAUUUAGUUUCAAGUUUAGUUCUUCCUAAAAAGGCAAGCACAUAGAAUCAGUCCAAAGGUGCAUGGAGAAUAAAAAGAUAGGUUAAUGAACUUCUUUCCAGUGAGUACGGCGAUAAGUCCUUGUGUUGUCCUAGCAUUAUUGAUGCAAAAAAUGAUGGUUUUUGGUGCAUGUGUUUUAAUAGUAAAGCAAUAAAAAAGAUCACCAUAAAUUACAGGUCUCUCAUUCCUCAACUUGACGACCUUCUUGAUCAACUUCAUGGUGAAAUAGUAAUCUCUAAAAUUGACAUUUGUUGUGGAUAUCACUAGAUAUGAGUGAGACUUGGAGAUGAGUGGAAGAGUAUCUUCAGAACCAGAAAUGAGCUUUAUGAGCAACUAGUUAUGCUAUUCAAACUCUCCAAUGCUCUUAUUCUUUUAAGCAAUACAUGUCACAUGUCUUUAAACGAUUAUGGAUAAUAUUGUUGUUUACUUUGAUGAUAUUU
rnacentral:misc_RNA from 1 species